rnacentral:rRNA from 2 species
AUUGAACGCUGGCGGCAUGCCUUACACAUGCAAGUCGAACGGCAGCACGGGAGCAAUCCUGGUGGCGAGUGGCGAACGGGUGAGUAAUGUAUCGGAACGUGCCCAGUCGUGGGGGAUAACGUAGCGAAAGCUACGCUAAUACCGCAUACGAUCUAUGGAUGAAAGCGGGGGACCGUAAGGCCUCGCGCGAUUGGAGCGGCCGAUAUCAGAUUAGGUAGUUGGUGGGGUAAAGGCCUACCAAGCCGACGAUCUGUAGCUGGUCUGAGAGGACGACCAGCCACACUGGGACUGAGACACGGCCCAGACUCCUACGGGAGGCAGCAGUGGGGAAUUUUGGACAAUGGGCGCAAGCCUGAUCCAGCAAUGCCGCGUGCAGGAUGAAGGCCUUCGGGUUGUAAACUGCUUUUGUACGGAGCGAAAAGGCUCUCUCUAAUACAGGGGGCUCAUGACGGUACCGUAAGAAUAAGCACCGGCUAACUACGUG